rnacentral:rRNA from 1 species
AUGCAGCUCGUCUCGGGAGGGCACACGGUUGUGGCUGUUAAUGGGCAGAUUAGUAAUUUCUUUGCUAACGGUAGGGGCCUUAGACAAGGAGACCCGGCGUCCCCCCUUCUCUUUAACUUCGUUGCGGAUGCUCUCUCUCAUAUCCUUUCUCGAGCAGCUAGUGCUGGUCACAUUACUCCUGUUAGUUCUCACUUGAUCCCCAAUGGC